rnacentral:rRNA from 1 species
GCAAUGCCGCGUGAGUGAAGAAGGCCUUCGGGUUGUAAAGCUCUUUUGUCAGGGAAGAAACGGUGAGCUCUAAUACAGUUUGCUAAUGACGGUACCUGAAGAAUAAGCACCGGCUAACUACGUGCCAGCAGCCGCGGUAAUACGUAGGGUGCAAGCGUUAAUCGGAAUUACUGGGCGUAAAGCGUGCGCAGGCGGUUUUGUAAGUCUGUCGUGAAAUCCCCGGGCUCAACCUGGGAAUGGCGAUGGAGACUGCAAGGCUAGAGUUUGGCAGAGGGGGGUAGAAUUCCACGUGUAGCAGUGAAAUGCGUAGAUAUGUGGAGGAACACCGAUGGCGAAGGCAGCCCCCUGGGUCAAAACUGACGCUCAUGCACGAAAGCGUGGGGAGCAAACAGGAUUAGAUACCCUGGUAGUCCACGCCCUAAACGAUGUCUACUAGUUGUCGGGUCUUAAUUGACUUGGUAACGCAGCUAACGCGUGAAGUAGACCGCCUGGGGAGUACGGUCGCAAGAUUAAAACUCAAAGGAAUUGACGGGGACCCGCACAAGCGGUGGAUGAUGUGGAUUAAUUCGAUGCAACGCGAAAAACCUUACCUACCCUUGACAUGGAUGGAAUCCCUGAGAGAUUG